AGAGUUUGAUCAUGGCUCAGGAUGAACGCUAGCGGGAGGCUUAACACACUGCCNANUUNGAGCGGGAUUCGCCUUCGGGCGAUGAGAGCGGCGCACGGGUGCGUAACGCGUAUGCAACCUGCCUCAUACAGGGGGAUAGCCCAUGGAAACGUGGAUUAAUAUCCCAUAGUACAGCAAUUCCGCAUGGGAUUGUUGUUAAAACCGAGGUGGUAUGAGAUGGGCAUGCGUCCGAUUAGGUAGUUGGUAGGGUAACGGCCUACCAAGCCGAUGAUCGGUAGGGGUCCUGAGAGGGUUACCCCCCACACUGGUACUGAGACACGGACCAGACUCCUACGGGAGGCAGCAGUGAGGAAUAUUGGUCAAUGGGCGAGAGCCUGAACCAGCCAUCCCGCGUGCAGGAUGACGGCCCUAUGGGUUGUAAACUGCUUUUCCGCGCCAAGAAACCCCCCGACGUGUCGGGGGCUGACGGUAGCGCGGGAAUAAGCACCGGCUAACUCCGUGCCAGCAGCCGCGGUAAUACGGAGGGUGCAAGCGUUAUCCGGAUUCAUUGGGUUUAAAGGGUGCGCAGGCGGGGAAAUAAGUCAGUGGUGAAAUACUGCCGCUCAACGGUAGGGCUGCCAUUGAUACUGUUUUUCUUGAGUAUGGUUGAGGCAGGUGGAAUGUGUUGUGUAGCGGUGAAAUGCAUAGAUAUGACACAGAACGCCGAUUGCGAAGGCAACUUGCUAAGCCAUCACUGACGCUGAGGCACGAAAGCGUGGGUAGCGAACAGGAUUAGAUACCCUGGUAGUCCACGCCGUAAACGAUGUUCACUCGCUGUUUGCGAUACACAGUAAGCGGCCGAGCGAAAGCAUUAAGUGAACCACCUGGGGAGUACGAUCGCAAGGUUGAAACUCAAAGGAAUUGACGGGGGCCCGCACAAGCGGAGGAACAUGUGGUUUAAUUCGAUGAUACGCGAGGAACCUUACCUGGGCUUAAAUGUAGGUUGCAUGACUUAGAAAUAGGUUUUCCCUUCGGGGCUACUUACAAGGUGCUGCAUGGUUGUCGUCAGCUCGUGCCGUGAGGUGUCGGGUUAAGUCCCAUAACGAGCGCAACCCCUAUCGUUAGUUGCCAGCGGGUCAAGCCGGGGACUCUAGCGAGACUGCCACCGUAAGGUGAGAGGAAGGUGGGGAUGACGUCAAAUCAGCACGGCCCUUAUGUCCAGGGCUACACACGUGUUACAAUGGCCGAUACAAAGGGCAGCUACCGGGCGACCGGAUGCUAAUCUCUAAAGUCGGUCCCAGUUCGGAUUGGAGUCUGCAACCCGACUCCAUGAAGUUGGAUUCGCUAGUAAUCGCGCAUCAGCCAUGGCGCGGUGAAUACGUUCCCGGGCCUUGUACACACCGCCCGUCAAACCAUGGGAGCUGGGGGUGCCUGAAGUCUGCCACCGCAAGGAGCGGCCUAGGGUAAAANCCGGUGANCUGGGGUUAAGUCGUAANCAAGGNACCAAAGGGCGAAUUCGUAACUCG
rnacentral:rRNA from 1 species